rnacentral:misc_RNA from 1 species
UGUCGGUCACAGGUUGCAAGGGAACUUCACCUUGAAUGUGAGACCAAGAAAGGGAAAAAUUCCCUUCUUACAGCUGGCUACGGUGGAUGGCUAUUAUAUACUGCUGCUUCUGCUGGAGACCUGGAUUUUGUUCGAGAACUGCUCGAAAAAGAUCCCCUCUUGGUCUUUGGAGAAGGAGAGUAUGGUGUCACUGACAUAUUAUAUGCUGCUGCUAGGAGUAAAAACUGCGAGG